rnacentral:rRNA from 1 species
AGUCAAGUAAUUAAGUGCAUGUGGUGGAUGCCUUGGCAGUCAGAGGCGAUGAAAGACGUGAUAGCCUGCGAAAAGCUCCGGGGAGGCGGCAAAUAUCCUUUGAUCCGGAGAUGUCUGAAUGGGGGAACCCACCUACUUUAAGGUAGGUAUUGCAACAUGAAUACAUAGUGUUGCAAGGCGAACGAGGGGAAGUGAAACAUCUCAGUACCCUUAGGAAAAGAAAUCAAUUGAGAUUCCCUCAGUAGCGGCGAGCGAACGGGGAUCAGCCCAUUAAGUUAUGUGUGUUUUAGUGGAACGCUCUGGGAAGUGCGAACGUAGAGGGUGAUAUUCCCGUACACGAAAGGGCACACAUAAUGAUGACGAGUAGGGCGAGGCACGUGAAACCUUGUCUGAAUAUGGGGGGACCAUCCUCCAAGGCUAAAUACUCCUGACUGACCGAUAGUGAACCAGUACCGUGAGGGAAAGGCGAAAAGAACCCCUGUGAGGGGAGUGAAAUAGAUCCUGAAACCGCAUGCAUACAAGCAGUGGGAGCACCUUCGUGGUGUGACUGCGUACCUUUUGUAUAAUGGGUCAGCGACUUAUAUUCAGUAGCGAGGUUAACCGUAUAGGGGAGCCGUAGAGAAAUCGAGUCUUAAUAGGGCGUUUAGUUGCUGGGUAUAGACCCGAAACCAGGCGAUCUAUCCAUGAGCAGGUUGAAGGUUGGGUAACACUAACUGGAGGACCGAACCCACUGUCGUUGAAAAGCCAGGGGAUGACUUGUGGAUAGGGGUGAAAGGCUAAUCAAGCCUGGUGAUAGCUGGUUCUCCCCGAAAGCUAUUUAGGUAGCGCCUCGGACGAAUACCAUAGGGGGUAGAGCACUGUUUCGGCUAGGGGGUCAUCCCGACUUACCAAACCGAUGCAAACUCCGAAUACCUAUGAGUACUAUCCGGGAGACAGACUGCGGGUGCUAACGUCCGUAGUCAAGAGGAAAACAAUCCAGACCGCCAGCUAAGGCCCCAAAAUCAUAGUUAAGUGGGAAACGAUGUGGGAAGGCAUAGACAGCUAGGAGGUUGGCUUAGAAGCAGCCACCCUUUAAAGAAAGCGUAAUAGCUCACUAGUCGAGUCGGCCUGCGCGGAAGAUGUAACGGGGCUAAAACUAUGUGCCGAAGCUGCGGAUGUAUACUUUGUAUACGUGGUAGGGGAGCGUUCUGUAAGCCGAUGAAGGUGUGUUGAGAAGCAUGCUGGAGGUAUCAGAAGUGCGAAUGCUGACGUGAGUAACGACAAAACGGGUGAAAAACCCGUUCGCCGAAAGACCAAGGGUUCCAGUCCAACGUUAAUCGGGGCUGGGUGAGUCGACCCCUAAGGCGAGGCCGAAAGGCGUAGUCGAUGGGAAAAUGGUUAAUAUUCCAUUACUUCUGUGUAAUGCGAUGAGAGGACGGAGAAGGCUAAAUCAGCCUGGCGUUGGUUGUCCAGGUGAAAGGAUGUAGGCAUGUAUCUUAGGCAAAUCCGGGGUACUCUAUGCUGAGAUCUGAUAGCAAGCUGUACUUGUACAGCGAAGUGGUUGAUGCCAUGCUUCCAGGAAAAGUCUCUAAGCUUCAGUUACACAGGAAUCGUACCCGAAACCGACACAGGUGGUCAGGUCGAGUAGACCAAGGCGCUUGAGAGAACUCUGCUGAAGGAACUAGGCAAAAUGGUACCGUAACUUCGGGAGAAGGUACGCUGUUGUU